GGCUCGGUAGCUUAGUUGGUAAAGCACUUGUCUAGCAAUAGGAAUCGUGAGUUCAAAUCUCACCUGAGCUG
rnacentral:tRNA from 1 species